AAAAAAAAAAAAAAAAAGGAAGCAUGCUUGGACUACCAACGCCAUACUAAUCUCACAAAAGACAUGUACUCUGAUGAAGACUACCAACAGGAUGCUCCAAGGCAUGGAAUCCCAGAAGCAGCAUUGCCCGGAACUCCUCGUGAAAUGGGAAUUUAUUCUUUUGCAUAUGUAACAGCUAGCAGAACCGCCAACCACGCAUUGCACAAAUUGCUGAAACCAUUUAAUUGCUUCCCUGACGAGGAUUGAAGUACCCAUAGGCAGCAAAGAAAGACUGAAACAUGGUGAGAAUGAGGAGUAUGAGAGCAGCUAAAGCAGACAUAAAUGCCCAUGGACUAUCAAAAUAAGUAUACUUGAAUUCUGCCCAUCUAACAUGCCAGGUGUUCUUGUAAUACUUAUUAACUUCUUCAAACACCUUUGCUAGAUAACUCCCUUUGAUAUUGAAAAGAAUAUCCUUGCUUACCUCAUUGAAGUAUUUAACAACUUCUUUAUCAGUUCCAAAAUAAUUCUCAAUAAUUCCAUGUUCCCGCAAGUAUCCUGCAUCAAAAGUGGUAUUGACGAGGCAGCCCAUGAAAAUAACAUAUGACGUAAAGUGGCUUGAGUGAUCUUUGAAGCAUUGUUCAAAUGCUACACAAUUGAGCAAGAAUGAGCCGAUAAAAUCAUCUGUUAUCAAACACGGGAUUUCAAGAACUCCAUGAGGUUUAAAUUUAAUGUCCAAGAAGCUCUCAGUAGCAGUCCUACUGCUUUGCUUGAACUUGAUCCCAGAUGCACGGAGCUUCUCGACAGGUUGGAUCAAUCUAAGAUCAUCAUUGUUAGACGCUUUCUCUUGGGAUGAAGGGAUAAAAGUAGAGCGAAGAAAGUCUAAUAGAUGUUUCCAAUCGUGGUUAUUCUUAAACCUAUCUCGGACUUUACGAUAAUGUUCCGGCAUUGAAUGAUGAAAGAAUUUUAAGAUGAGUUCUGUCAAAGAGAGACCUUUUCUUGAAUCAGCUGAAAUUGACCGCUCAAACAAAUUUCGAAGAACAAAGAAAGGGAUUUGGUUCUCUAGCCUGAGAAGAUCCCUGGAAAUGGAAUAGUAUAUCCACUGCGACUUGAAUAUAGGGUCAUCAGGAUCCUCUUGAACUAACUUUCCAACUAUGCAGAGGAGCUCAAUAAUGAAAAUACCAUCAAGUAUCAUCAUUUCAAUCAGUUGGCGGCUAUCAAAUCCAUCAGUAGACUCUGAAUAACAUUCCCUUAUCUUCUUCUCGUCGAUUGCUAUGACCUUGUAAAAUUCAUCCAGUCCAACACCGAAUUCUUGAGUUCGAUCAAGAACAGCACCAAGAAAUCGUCGUUUAUGUUGUUGAAUCAUCUCUAGCUGUUUUGCUCCAUAGUGGUAUGGUCCAAUGGAGACUAUCUGAGGUUUAAAGGCCUCGGGGUGAAUUUUCACCAGGCUUUGAGGCACUCGAAAGAUGGAACAGGAGGCCUUACCAGCUGUUUUGUUCAGCAACUUGGGGACUUGUUCAUUGAUACUCUCUUCCACGGAUUUUAACCAUUCCUUAUGUUCAUCCUCUGGAACGAUAAUCACAAGUUCACAAGCUCCAGCCUUUUGUUUUUGGUGAAGCUCCGUCCAACGCGGAUUUCGUAUGAGUUCAUUGACUUCCCUUUUGGUCCCAAUGCCUCCAAACCGAGGCACUGUCUCAACUGCUGUCUCACUGUCUGAUUCUGAGGGCUCAGAUUCUUGCCACAGAGAUGCUUGUACGAUUGGUGAUGGUUUCCUUGGAGUUGAAGCGUACAAUUCUUCAAUCUCUGGGGGAGGUACUUGUUCAGAGGCUCCGAUCUCUGGGUUUUGGUUUCUAUGUCCAUCGUCAGGUAUGACCUCCUCAUAUCGAUGCAAAAACUUGAGAAGCAACACCGAUGGGUAUUCAGAAUCAGGAGAAAGUUGGGAGAGCAGCUCGGCGAAAAUUCUAGCUCUAUAAUUUGAAUCAAUAUGCAAAUCUGAUUCAUCAAUUGAAACUCUUUCAAGUAACUCAUUACUGUCUUUCAGCUUCUGAAUCUCCUCCUUUUGUUCAUCUUCAAGAAGAGCACGGAACAAACUUGCGGCACGAAUACGAUCCUUGGUAUUGUCCAUUAUUUCAGCCUUCUUGUUUCUUGCUGGUUCUUUGUGGUUGGGCUCUGUUUGAUUUCAUAUGGAUAUUAGCUACAUUUUUUCUUUCAAUUUGGGCCAAUUAUUGCUUUGUAGAAUGAAAGUUGAAUUUUCAAAGUUAAACUAAUAAUUCAGCAAAGGAAAUCUCAUUAUAUAAGAAGUCCAAAUUUUGAUAUAGGGUUUGUUUGAUUUGAAGAGUUUUGGAUUUUUA
rnacentral:misc_RNA from 1 species